AGCUCUGGUGUCCCCUAAAAGAGGCAAAGCAAAACCAUUUGAACAAAUAAGAGAGAGAGGUCCGUGCAAAGAUGCUACAGAUGAAUUUUGGUGGAAUCAGUGGAGGUUUUGAAGAAGUUGUGUAUGCCUGCCCUAAAGGGAUCAAACGGCGCAAUCUGAACAGACUUGAGAGUGGUUCAUGCCUUGAAGCUACAAAGCCACUUUUAUUUAAUUACGACCGGAAGUUUCAGCGGAAAUAUGUUGAAGUAAAAAAUGACGCAGAAGGACGAACGCCAAACCAUCUACUGUACCUUUACAAUAGCUCAUCCUGAACGGAUUUUGUGUGUUUGUUAAAACAUACGAGCCACAUCCUUUACACAAAUCAUACGAAGCCCGUCUUUUCAAACUUGAAACUUACAUUUAAGAUAUUUCUAUUAAGGCAGAGCUGGAAAAAACUAAUUUAUUGAAAAUCAGCGUCUUCAAUGUAAUUGAUAUUGACAUUAAAUUUACACUUUUCA